rnacentral:rRNA from 1 species
CACGUAGGUGGCAAGCGUUAUCCGGAAUUACUGGGCGUAAAGGGUCCGCAGGUGGGAUGGUCAGUCCGAUGUGACAGUACCCGGCUUAACUGGGUGAGGCCAUUGGAAACUGCCAUUCUUGAGUCACGGAGAGGGAAGCGGAAUUCCGGGUGUAGUGGUGGAAUGCGUAGAGAUCCGGAGGAACUCCAAAGGCGCAAGCAGCUUCCUGGCCGAGGACUGACACUGAGGGACGAAAGCGUGGGGAGCAAACAGG